CCCUUAGAUGUUCUGGGCCGCACGCGCGCUACACUGAUGAAUUCAACGAGUCUAAAACCUGCUCUGAUAGGGGUGGGUAAUCUUUUGAAUGUGCAUCGUGAUUGGGAUAGAUGAUUGCAAUUUUUCAUCUUCAACGAGGAAUGCCUAGUAAACGCAAGUCAUCAGCUUGCAUUGAUUACGUCCCUGCCCUUUGUACACACCGCCCGUCGCUCCUACCGAUUGAAUGAUCCGAUGAAUAUCAUGGAUUGAGGAUUAUAGCAGGUUCGCCUGUCUUGAUCUUCGAGAAGUGAAGUAAAUCUUAUCAUUUAGAGGAAGGAGAAGUCGUAACA
rnacentral:rRNA from 1 species